CACGUAGGGGGCAAGCGUUGUCCGGAUUUAUUGGGCGUAAAGAGCUCGUAGGCGGCUCAGUAAGUCGGGUGUGAAACCUCCAGGCUCAACCUGGAGACGCCACCCGAUACUGCUGUGGCUUGAGUCCGGUAGGGGAGCGUGGAAUUCCUGGUGUAGCGGUGAAAUGCGCAGAUAUCAGGAGGAACACCAGCGGCGAAGGCGGCGCUCUGGGCCGGAACUGACGCUGAGGAGCGAAAGCGUGGGUAGCAAACGG
rnacentral:rRNA from 1 species